AAGGUAGCAUAAUCAUUAGUUUUUUAAUUGAAAGCUUGUAUGAAGGGUUGGAUGAGAAAAUAACUGUCUCUAUCUAAAUUAAUUAGAAUUUUAUUUUUAAGUAAAAAAGCUUAAAUAAAUAUUGAAGACGAGAAGACCCUAUAGAGUUUUAUAUUUUUGGUUAUCGAAAAUUUUAGUAUUAUAAAAGUUGAUGAUUAAAUUUAUUUAGUUGGGGUGAUUGAAAAAUUUAAUAAACUUUUUCUUUAUUUUUACACUAAUUUGUGAAUAGUUGAUCCUUUAAUAAAGAUUAAAAGAUAAAAUUAC
rnacentral:rRNA from 1 species